GGACACCCCCCUUUACAUCGGAUCGUCCGGCACGUUCCUGCCGGUGAAGGAGAGCAGA
rfam:Streptacidiphilus jiangxiensis strain CGMCC 4.1857 genome assembly, contig: Ga0104467_126